GACGAACGCUGGCGGCGUGCUUAACACAUGCAAGUCGUACGGUAAGGCCCUUUCGGGGGUACACGAGUGGCGAACGGGUGAGUAACACGUGAGUAACCUGCCCACAACUUUGGGAUAACGCUAGGAAACUGGUGCUAAUACUGGAUAUGUGCUCCUGCUGCAUGGUGGGGGUUGGAAAGCUCCGGCGGUUGUGGAUGGACUCGCGGCCUAUCAGCCUGUUGGUGGGGUAGUGGCCUACCAAGGCGGCGACGGGUAGCCGGCCUGAGAGGGUGACCGGCCACAUUGGGACUGAGAUACGGCCCAGACUCCUACGGGAGGCAGCAGUGGGGAAUAUUGCACAAUGGGCGCAAGCCUGAUGCAGCAACGCCGCGUGCGGGAUGACGGCCUUCGGGUUGUAAACCGCUCUCAGCAGGGACGAAGCUUUUUGUGACGGUACCUGCAGAAGAAGCACCGGCUAACUACGUGCCAGCAGCCGCGGUGAUACGUAGGGUGCGAGCGUUGUCCGGAUUUAUUGGGCGUAAAGGGCUCGUAGGCGGUUGAUCGCGUCGGAAGUGGAAACUUGAUGCUUAGCGUUGAGCGUGCUUUCGAUACGGGUUGACUUGAGGAAGGUAGGGGAGAAUGGAAUUCCUGGUGGAGCGGUGGAAUGCGCAGAUAUCAGGAGGAACACCAGUGGCGAAGGCGGUUCUCUGGACCUUUCCUGACGCUGAGGAGCGAAAGCGUGGGGAGCGAACAGGCUUAGAUACCCUGGUAGUCCACGCUGUAAACGGUGGGUAAC
rnacentral:rRNA from 1 species